UCUCGCCUUUCCAUCCUUUCCCUCCUCAUUCCUUUCCCUCCUUUUCCUUCUUUCCGUCUGUCGCUUACGAUAAUUUAGCCUUAAAAACAAAGCGUUGCUAGGUAGCAAUACUUGCUGAAUAGCUACGUUAUGCAACGCGCCAGCGAUUAAGCGAUUAGUGGCUCCAGAGAGGAUGUAUUAACCAACGGAUCGGCAAGUAGUUAAAUUAAUUUAGAAAACAUAAAUAGGCUGCAAAAGCAUCUGAAAGGUUAAGCACUUCGUGCAGUUAGCGGAUCAAUGCUUAACCCAGAAAACCGUUGCGCUCGUAAUAACCAGGCUCGACAAAAUGGUCGGGAACCCUGAAAGCAUUUACAAAUCUUUACUGCUAGAAUUACUAGUGAUAAAACAUAUAACGACAGAUAAUCCUUCAGCAUUUUUAGAAUUUUCCAACGCUUUGCGCAAUCUCAUUGACAACAUGGUGUUGUUGAAGCAAGAAGGAUUUUUGAAUGACCAAAGGCUGCUAAACGAUUUAACAUCAAGGUUUUCAACCGAACUUCGGAACGAAAGGUUGAACGAGAAUCGAACCGUUCGAACAGUUCGGUAAAGUGCACGAACGAACGAGAUUCUUAACAAAAAACGACCAGAACUUUUGGAAGAAACUGACUACACCGAACGCGUUCGAACGUUCCGUUCAUUGUUCGACGACACACAUAAACAGUGCUGCAAAAUGUCAUGACUAUCACGAGAUUUUCACCAACGAAAACAAUCAACAUAUCCGUGGUAGCUUGAUGUUCAUUGUUGAUAGUCAAUAAAAGUGCGUCAUGACAUGCUGAACACGACAUGUGAAUUCUUGAGUCCAACACGAUACUCUGACUGACAAGCUUAGCUUACUGCCCGCAUAAGCAUAAUCAUGACUAUUGCUGGCUGUGUACUGUGCUGCCAAAUAUCACUGUUUCAGUCACCAACGCUCAUGACUGAAACGAACCUCAAAUCAGCUCACGUACACAAGUGCGAUGAUCAGACGCAAGAUGAACAUAGUCGUUGUGACGUGUGACCAGAUUGGUGACAUUGCAGCAACCACCUCUUGGUCGGUCACUUUGACGUGACUUUGUUUAUCUGUGAUCAAUUUCGAAAUGUCACUGGUUCUAUCACGAGCACUCGUGAUUGAAAUGAAAUUCAUUUCGGUUCACGUACACAUGUGCGAUGAUCAGAGGUAAGACGCACAUGGUCGUUGUGACGUCUGAUCUGAUUGGUGAUAUUUUGGUAACCAACUCCUGGUCAAUCAGUUUGUCGUGAUUUUUUGGUAUUUUAUUAUCGCGAUAGACUUAGAAUAUACGUGGCGCGGGCGAGUGGUGUUUUAUUAACCAUGUGCAUAUGAUUACAAGCAGUAGUCGGUUCUGCUAGCUGGUUAAAUGAUCCCGCAUCCUACAUAUAUUGCCAGACUCAUUUUGCUGAUCCAAACGUUUAUAAAAACACUUAGACCCACAAACAGCCGGCACUGGAAUUUCAGGCGAUUUGGAAGAAGGGAAGGAAGAGUCAGUACGACUUUUAGCGGACAUUACCUAAGUUUCUUGUCCAGAUGACCAAUUUUACGCUGUUCGAUGGUAACGGGAAUCCUAUGUUAAUGAUGAUCUCCGGGGGCGGAUACACGGGCUGUUGUUGGUGGCAGUGGAUAGACGCUAGGUGUCAGCAUGCCGUGCCCGUUAGAAAAUCCGUACCCGUGCGCGGUGUCAAUUGCGCCAAAGGUGGAUUAUGAAAGGUGCAGGAAUUUGGUGGCUUUGUCUAGAGUUAGUGCUUUCGGAUAUGAAAAUAAUAAAACCAGGAUGUAAAACAAAAACUAUCUACCUUUUCAUCCAUCUACAAAA